CUGUGCACAUCUACAGCCGCUCGCUUACACAGCUAAUGGAAAAUCUAUAUUCAUAUAGCUUUCUAUUACAUUAUGCACUGACAUAUUCCAACCUAAUCUUUGUUUAAUAAGAAUUAGAAGAGGAUGGGGGCUGGUAUGGAGGAUCAGUAUGGUAAUCGGCAAAUGGGUGAAGCCUUGUAUUCGCCCGGAAUUCUAGUUUUUUCAUGAUACAUCUACGAAGACCACCACUAAGCACAAAAAGCAAUAUAUACUCACGGGUCAGGGAGGUGGCGCCAAGGGCACUAAUAGAGGCUCACGGGGCCUGCGUGGGCGUCUGGAAGGGGCCCGGGGUGC